GCUGUGUGAUGAUGAAAUGUAACCAUCAUCUACAGCUCAGUUACACAAUAUUGUAUCAUGGAAAUUAUCACCAAGCGUGGAUAUUUUAAUCGACAACUCAGUGGAUAUGGUUAAAGAUUCAAAUUCAUUAAUGAAUUCAUUGGAUAUUCAUGUGCAACAGUCGAGACAUGAUGAUAAUGGCGAUACUGAUACUGACGAUUAUGCUGACAGCGAUAAUUAAUUUAUUGAUAAAUACAUUCGAUAUAUAAUUGAAGGAAAAAGAUUAUCGGCUAAUAAAUUUGUUUUCAUUCUGGCUUUCUCCUGUUAUAAUCAUGGAAUGCUGCAACAUUUACAUGCAUACAUACUUUAAAAUAGGCAAUUUUCCGAAUUCACACACAAUCUUUUCAAAAUACUGUUCCUAUCAGACAAUUAUCUUCUAUCAAUUGUUGUUAUCACAGUUUUGACAAGAAGAUAUCUUCCUUAACGUCUGAAUAACUCUUGCGUAAUUAAAUUAAUCUUUCAUAUAAACAAGAAUCAUCUAUAUCUGAAAAGAGUAGCGCUUGCAUUGGAUUGAUUGGACAUCGCUUUUUCUUUGUAAUAUGUCAUUAACCCUAACGAAAUUGGAUAUAUUUGGAACUGAUAAGUCGAUAAUUCUCCAGCCAUUACAGCGGUAUCAUGGUCACACAGCUGCAAUAAAAAUAUCAAUUAUGCUCACAUUUCUCAAAAUAAACCAUGCGAAAUCAUUUUGCGAUAGAUUAUUAAUAGUACAAUCUUUGCUACCGACAAAAAAUGCUAUGUUACAGAAAUGUCUGAAAGUUUAACAAAUAUUUACUCAUU